AUUUACUGUGGUGCAAUGGGUCAGUGUGUCUGGCUGUUAACCAGAAGGCUGGUGGUUCAUGCCCACCCAGGGACA
rnacentral:tRNA from 1 species